CAUAGUGGAGAAUUAAAAGAUGGCUUCGGCUAUCACUUACAGAUGGGCCCGCGGCGCAUUAGCUAGUUGGUGAGGUAAGGGCUCACCAAGGCGACGAUGCGUAGCCGACCUGAGAGGGUGAUCGGCCACACUGGGACUGAGACACGGCCCAGACUCCUACGGGAGGCAGCAGUAGGGAAUCUUCGGCAAUGGGCGAAAGCCUGACCGAGCAACGCCGCGUGAGCGAUGAAGGCCUUCGGGUCGUAAAGCUCUGUUGUUAGGGAAGAACAAGUACCGUUCAAAUAGGGCGGUACCUUGACGGUACCUAACCAGAAAGCCACGGCUAACUACGUGCCAGCAGCCGCGGUAAUACGUAGGUGGCAAGCGUUGUCCGGAAUUAUUGGGCGUAAAGCGCGCGCAGGCGGUCUCUUAAGUCUGAUGUGAAAGCCCACGGCUCAACCGUGGAGGGUCAUUGGAAACUGGGGGACUUGAGUACUGGAGAGGAGAGUGGAAUUCCAUGUGUAGCGGUGAAAUGCGUAGAUAUAUGGAGGAACACCAGUGGCGAA
rnacentral:rRNA from 2 species